GAAGCUGGCCAGGCAACCGCCGGGCGAAGGGAUUCCGGUCCCGACGCCGGGAGGAAAGUCCGGGCUCCGCAGAGCAGGAUGCCGGUUAACGACCGGGCGCUAUAAGUCGAAAGACCCAAGGCGACGGAAAGUGCAACAGAGAAUAGACCGCCGAUGGCUCAGUUCGCUGAGAUCAGGCAAGGGUGAAACGGCGAGGUAAGAGCUCACCGCGGACGUGGUAACACGGACGGCACGGCAAACCCCAUCCGGAGCAAGGCCAAAUAGGGAAGCUUGGGCGUGGCUCGCGCUGCUUCCGGGUAGGCUGCUUGAGCGGCGCGGUAACGCGUCGCCUAGAGGAAUGGUUGCCCACGACAGAACCCGGCUUAUCGGCCAGCUUCACUU
rnacentral:RNase_P_RNA from 1 species